UGGCCUCUAUGUCAGCUCCUG
rnacentral:misc_RNA from 1 species